rnacentral:rRNA from 1 species
ACGCUCGACACCUACGGGGGCAGCAGUGGGGAAUAUUGCACAAUGGGGGAAACCCUGAUGCAGCAACGCCGCGUGAAGGAAGACGGUUUUCGGAUUGUAAACUUCUGUUCUUAGUGAAGAUAGUGACGGUAGCUAAGGAGCAAGCCACGGCUAACUACGUGCCAAGCAGCCGCGGUAAUCUGAGGCGGGCUGGCAAGGC